rnacentral:misc_RNA from 1 species
UUGUGGAGGAGGACGCCGAAGGUGGGGCUGAUGACUGGGGUGAAGUCGUACAAGGUAGCCGUACCGGAAGGUGCGGCUGGAUCACCUCCUAACCAGGGAGACAAAAAAUAGAUCAUGAUGUCUGGGUAUUUUACCUAGGCCAUGGUCCUGUCACCUUAGGUCGAUCGGUACCUCUGAAUAAAAGCUAAUAAUUUUGGUUUAUCAAAGUUUUUGUUUUUAUUUUCAGUUCCUAAACUUGUCUAGGUCACACCCAGCAAAGGUGACUCCUGGGCCAUUAGCUCAGGUGGUUAGAGCGCACCCCUGAUAAGGGUGAGGUCCCUGGUUCAAGUCCAGGAUGGCCCAUUCGGUGUUGGGGGUAUAGCUCAGUUGGUAGAGCGCCUGCUUUGCAAGCAGGAUGUCAGCGGUUCGAGUCCGCUUACCUCCACUGAUCGACCUCCUGAUAGCGAAAUCAAGGGAGAUCUACUUUUAAAGUGUGAUUUAGACUAUGUUUAUCUGAUUUAGAACCUAGCUUCUUAUCAUUCCAUCCUUCUAUAAAAAAUGGAUGGUUGGCAGGACGCUGGGCUCGCUUUAAUUCUAGUAAUUAUAGCUAAGUUCAGUAGAACCUUGACAACUGCAUAGGAAAGUCUGAAAAGAAUAAAGCAUCUCAUGGAUGCAUUAUUCUUCCUUAAAUCAAAAAAAACCAAUGAUUUUCUUUGGUUUUAUUUUAAUUAUAGGAUGAAUAAUGUUUAAUUCUUGAGCAAAAGAUAAGCUAGAUUACUUUAAUUAAUUUUAAGUAAUUUAUUGGGUCAAGCUACAA